CACGGAGUUAGCCGGUGCUUAUUCGUAUAGUACCUUCAGCUACCCUCACGAGGGUAGGUUUAUCCCUAUACAAAAGAAGUUUACAACCCAUAGGGCAGUCGUCCUUCACGCGGGAUGGCUGGUUCAGGCUUGCACCCAUUGACCAAUAUUCCUCA
rnacentral:rRNA from 1 species